GUGGGUGGACGCCGGCCCAACCAGCCAAGCGGGGCUUGAGGGUGUUGCAAUGACGCUCGGACAGGCAUGCCCCCCGGGAAGCCGGGGGGCGCAAUGUGCGUUCAAAGAUUCGAUGACUCACGGAAUUCUGCAAUUCGCAUUACUUAUCGCAUUUCGCUGC
rnacentral:rRNA from 1 species